rnacentral:lncRNA from 1 species
UUUUGGCUUAUUUUUUUUCUGCUCUGGGCAUUGCAGUGCUGCAUUUCUCACCCAGACUGUUGCUAGGAGACACAAUGUGCUUCAGCAGCAUCACCUGGCUCCUGGGUGGGGUGCUUGCACCUCCAGUGCUCUGUCAGAAAGCUGAUGGGAAACACUGCCUUUCCUUGUGCCUGCAGUGACUAUUGGGAGCCAUCGCCAUGCCUGUGUAGUGGUUGGAAAUACGUCCUCCAGAUCCCGGCUGUCAGUGAGUUUGGCCAAGCUUUUCCCUACGAGAACUGCCGUGGCCCCUCCUGGAUGACUGCAGCAGGAAAACUGAGUGCAAGCUGGAAAGCAUUAAAACUCCUGACACUUCCAAACUUUGAAAGCAAAACAAUGAAAUGAGAAAAAGCGGAAAUCCUGGACUGAUGAGAACUCUGGGAAGCCAAUUAUGUUGCAGAAAUGGAUGCUUAUAGCUCCGUGCUGAAGCAGAAGAUGCAACGCCACAUUUAAAAUGUGUGACAAAUUAUCUACAGUGAGCCUUCAUAGCACCACACCAAUAAAUCAACGUUAUGUUUAAUGGGACACUGAUGUGAAGGCAAUAUUGGGAUUCAAAUACA